GGGGGUAUAGCUCAGUUGGUAGAGCGCGUCGUUCGCAAUGACGAGGCCAGGGGUUCGAACCCCUUACCUCCACCA
rnacentral:tRNA from 1 species